GCGCCAGCCCGCCGCCCCGGGUGGGGGCUGGGCCCACUCCCGGCUCUGCUCCCCACCCCCACCGGAAACAUUCCUGAAACAUUCCUGAAAGUAGGAGGCCCGGCCCCUCCGGUUCCCCACCCCGCCUCCACUCCGGGCUCAGGGUUUUCCUGGCGUCCCCCCUCCAUCGGCGGCUCGCCCCCUGAGGAGGGGGCUGGGCCGGGGCCUCGGCCGGCCGGGGAGGAAGAAGGGGAGCAAAGAAAAACAUGAGUCACAGCCGUGUGUCACUGGGCCGCAUUGCAUUUCCCUGCAUCACGGGAGGUGUGGAAGGCCGCCUCAGGGACGAGGGGCGGGGAGGUGCGCCCGAGAAGGCCCCGGGCCCGGCCUGCAGGGCGCGCCGCUCUGACAGCGCCCUUUCUUCUCCCACCGCCCUCCCCGCCAUCUUUUCACUUUGGCUUCCUUCUUCUACGUGCAACAAGUCUUUGUUGCGCCUGGCGCCGGGCGGGCCAAGCGUGGCGGGUAUGGCUUGCGUAGACCCAGUCCCUGCCCUCAAAGUGCUUCCAGGCGACCACUGAAUCACGCUUUCUUAUUUUUCUUAAAAGUCACGGCGGAGAGGACCAGGUCACAAAGUGGAAACGCACGUCUCCAAAACAUCAUCCGAGUCACCUAAAGGAAUGAAGCCUCCCUCAGGUUUACCUGCAAGCGAGCCAAUCGUUUGUUUCCUUUGGAGGCUGCACCUUGAUUACGGCUCACUCGCGGCCAUUAAUAAACGAAAAGUCUGGAUUUCACAAGUUUCACGUUUGAAUUUCACAAGACUUGAAUUUCACCAGUCAGCCACACGCACGUUGGCACUAAAAUGCACAUGCUGACACCUGUCCGCCCAGGGGAAAUCUACGAGCCGUGUAUCUGGGCGCAGGGGGCGGCGGGUAGGCCGCGGAAUUCUCUCACAGGCGCGUUUCUCUCCACCCCCUCCCGCCCGCGCGGACCCCGCAGGCAUGAACGCCCGCCCACAUCCAACGCGCCCCGCGGGCGUCAGGCCCCACACGCCCGGAAGGCCCCUAGAGGUGACUCUCCCGGGGACCCCCUUGCUGGAUGUAAAGAUGCCCUCCUCCCCCUCCCCCGCGAAAAGCUCCCUGGUGAUCCCUCUGUGCACCUUCCCGUGUCUCCCGGCCCGGGACAGUGGGGAGUGGGCCGUCGCCUCAGAUUCCCAGCCCAGGCCUCCCGCGCGCCCGCCCCCAGGCACCCGGCACCGCACGCCCCUCCCCGUAGUCAGCACCCACCCGCGCGGCGGCGGCUGGCGGGCGGCCGCCCUUUUAAAUCCCCGGGCUCAUUUGCAUGGCCCCGCCCCCCACAGUGACACGGCUGGCGCGGGCGGGCCCGUCCCCCCUGCCCCUGGGUCGCUCUUUUUAAGCUCCCCUGAGCCGGGGCUGCGCUCCUCUAAUUGGGACUCCGAGCCCGGGCUAUUUCUGGCGCUGGCGCGGCUCCAAGAAGGCAUCCGCAUUUGCUACCAGCGGCGGCGGCGGCGGCGGAGCCAGGCCGGUCUUCAGCGCCCAGCACCGUCGCUCCCGGCAGCCCGGAGCGCGCACCGCAGGCCGGCGGCCGAGCUCGCGGUGAGUCGUCCCCGGGGCCCGCGGCGGCGGCGGCGGAGGGGGGCGCCCGCGCCCCCGCCUGCACGCCGCCCCUCCUGCAAGCCGCCCAGGGCUGCA
rnacentral:lncRNA from 1 species